rnacentral:lncRNA from 1 species
UAGAAUCUAACAUAGUUCAGCUGAAAAUCGGUAGAUUUACAACUAUAGUACAUUUGUGAAAAUAUAAUAAAGAAUAAUAUGAGUAAAGAUGCAAGAGCACAAAAAAUUCUUCAAGGGUUUAGACUUAAUUGGAUGAAUUUAAGAGAUGCUGAAAGUGGAAAAAUUAUGUGGCAGGGUACAGAAGAUCUAUCAGAAGAAGGAUGUGAACAUGAAG